GGUGGGGUUCAGGAUAUUGUGGUGUAGUUGUGGUGAGGUUCAGGGUGUAGUUGUGUUGUGGUGAGGUUCAGGGUGUAGUUGUGUAGUGGUGGGGUUCAGGGUAUUGUGGUGUAGUUGUGGUGGGGUUCAGGGUAUUGUGGUGUAGUUGUGGUGGGGUUCAGGGUAUUGUGGUGUAGUUGUGGUGGGGUUCAGGGUGUAGUUGUGUAGUGGUGGGGUUCAGGGUAUUGUGGUGUAGUUGUGGUGGGGUUCAGGGUGUAG